ACAAAACCUAAGUUUAUUUUCUAUAAGAGGAAGCAGAUUGUGAAAAAAAGGGAGGAGGAAAGCAGAUAUCAAAGGAAAAAGUUCCUCUUCCUCUCCAUUCAUCAUCUAUCCGCUAAACACCCUCUAACCGCCUUUGUAUCAACAAAACCCUCACCGUCUUCUCUUCCGCUAACCUCCGCUUCCCUUCAUCUGUCAAAACCCAGCCGGAAACCACCCAUACACAAACUCCCGGCCGCGCAUCACUUCCUAACAGGCAACGAUAAUCCGAUAUCCGCCGGGUCUGUCUUCCUCCGUCGUUGCUUCUGA